AGAGUUUGAUCCUGGCUCAGGAUGAACGCUAGCGGCAGGCUUAACACAUGCAAGUCGAGGGGUAACGAUGGCUUCGGCCAGGCGACGACCGGCGCACGGGUGCGUAACGCGUAUGCAAUCUACCUCUAACAGAAGCAUAGCCCGAAGAAAUUCGGAUUAAUACUUCAUAAUAUCCCAAAUUCGCAUGUUUUUAGGAUUAAAGCUCCGGCGGUUAGAGAUGAGCAUGCGUGCCAUUAGUUUGUUGGUGAGGUAACGGCUCACCAAGACUUCGAUGGCUAGGGGGUCUGAGAGGAUGAUCCCCCACACUGGUACUGAGACACGGACCAGACUCCUACGGGAGGCAGCAGUGAGGAAUAUUGGGCAAUGGGCGCAAGCCUGACCCAGCCAUGCCGCGUGUAGGAUGAAUGCCCUAUGGGUGGUAAACUACUUUUUUAUAGGAAGAAACUCUUGAACGUGUUCAGGACUGACGGUACUAUAAGAAUAAGCAUCGGCUAACUCCGUGCCAGCAGCCGCGGUAAUACGGAGGAUGCAAGCGUUAUCCGGAUUUAUUGGGUUUAAAGGGUGCGUAGGCGGAAUAAUAAGUCAGUGGUGAAAUCCUGCAGCUUAACUGUAGAACUGCCAUUGAUACUGUUAUUCUUGAGUACAGUUGAGGUGGGCGGAAUGUGUAAUGUAGCGGUGAAAUGCUUAGAUAUUACACAGAACGCCAAUUGCGAAGGCAGCUCACUAAGCUGUUACUGACGCUGAGGCACGAAAGCGUGGGGAGCGAACAGGAUUAGAUACCCUGGUAGUCCACGCCGUAAACGAUGAUCACUCGUUGUUGGCGAUAUACUGUCGGCGACUGAGCUAAGGCAUUAAGUGAUCCACCUGGGGAGUACGGUCGCAAGAUUGAAACUCAAAGGAAUUGACGGGGGCCCGCACAAGCGGAGGAACAUGUGGUUUAAUUCGAUGAUACGCGAGGAACCUUACCUGGGCUUAAAUGCAGGACGACAGAUCGGGAAACUGAUUUUUCUUCGGACGGCUUGCAAGGUGCUGCAUGGUUGUCGUCAGCUCGUGCCGUGAGGUGUCGGGUUAAGUCCCAUAACGAGCGCAACCCCUAUUGUUAGUUACCAGCGGAUAAUGCCGGGGACUCUAACGAAACUGCCGGUGUAAACCGAGAGGAAGGUGGGGAUGACGUCAAAACAGCACGGCCCUUAUGUCCAGGGCUACACACGUGUUACAAUGGCCAGUACAAAGGGCAGCUACCAGGCGACUGGAUGCUAAUCUCCAAAACUGGUCUUAGUUCGGAUCGAAGUCUGCAACUCGACUUCGUGAAGGUGGAUUCGCUAGUAAUCGCGCAUCAGCCAUGGCGCGGUGAAUACGUUCCCGGGCCUUGUACACACCGCCCGUCAAGCCAUGGAAGCUGGGGGUACCUAAAGUCUGUAACCGCAAGGAGCGGCCUAGGGUAAAACUAGUGACUGGGGCUAAGUCGUAACAAGGUA
rnacentral:rRNA from 1 species